GCAUCAACAAACAUUCAGAAGGGUUUUUAAUGGUAUCGUACAUCAUCUCUGCUGCUAAGCAUAUAGAAUGACUUUGACAAAAUUUCUACUUUUUUCUAUCAAGAGGCGCAACGAGUUGCACGGCUGACAAAAAUCUUCCGGUAUACAAAUUCACUUCCCAGUCUCUCUCAUCAACCGCGAGAAAAUAGUAGUAGAAACUACAAACUAACACUUACGCAACACAUGAUUGAUCUCUAACCAGCGUCAGGACAUCUUAAAACCGCCUUUGCUCCCUCGGCUUCGACUCUGCGACGGUAACCCGGAUCUGCCUGCCAUCGAGGUCCUACAGAACAAGACCAUGCGCUCAAUUAGCAUAGCUAUUCAGAAAACAUCGAAUUAUUCAAACUUGACACUAUGAACACAGUAAUAUACGAGAACUUACCACGCCGUCGAGGUUUGAGAUCGCAUUGUUGACCUCGUCAGCAGAGCCAUAGGUGACGAAACCGAAACCCCUCGACCUGCCGCUGUCACGGUCAUAGAUGACCUUGGCAUC
rnacentral:lncRNA from 1 species